UACGGAGGGUGCAAGCGUUGUCCGGAUUUAUUGGGUUUAAAGGGUGCGUAGGCGGCCCCGUAAGUCAGUGGUGAAAUUCUUGAGCUUAACUGAAGGAUUGCCAUUGAUACUGUAGGGCUUGAGUACAGAUGAGGUAGGCGGAAUUGAUGGUGUAGCGGUGAAAUGCAUAGAUACCAUCAAGAACACCGAUUGCGAAGGCAGCUUACUAAGCUGUAACUGACGCUGGUGCACGAAAGCGUGGGGAUCGAACAGG
rnacentral:rRNA from 1 species